rnacentral:rRNA from 1 species
GCACAAGCGGAGGAACAUGUGGUUUAAUUCGAUGAUACGCGAGGAACCCGUUACCCGGGCUUGAAAUGCAUCUGACCGGCCUUGAAAGAGGCACUCCCUUCGGGGCAGAUGUGUAGGUGCUGCAUGGUUGUCGUCAGCUCGUGCCGUGAGGUGUCGGCUUAAGUGCCAUAACGAGCGCAACCCUCAUCAUUAGUUACCAUCAGGUAAGGCUGGGGACUCUAAUGAGACUGCCAUCGUAAGAUGUGAGGAAGGUGGGGAUGACGUCAAAUCAGCACGGCCCUUACGUCCGGGGCGACACACGUGUUACAAUGGGUGGUACAAAGGGCAGCUACCUGGCGACAGGAUGCUAAUCUCGAAAACCGCUCUCAGUUCGGAUCGGAGUCUGCAACUCGACUCCGUGAAGCUGGAUUCGCUAGUAAUCGCGCAUCAGCCACGGCGCGGUGAAUACGUUCCCGGGCCUU